rnacentral:rRNA from 1 species
AGUGAACGCUGGCGGCGUGCCUAACACAUGCAAGUCGAACGAUGAUGGAGAGCUUGCCCUCCUGAUUAGUGGCGCACGGGUGAGUAUACCAUAGAUACUGUACCUCUUAGUUCGGGAUAGCCAUUGGAAACGGUGAUUAAUACCGGAUCCUCCUUCUUGUCUUAAGGCGAGGCGGGAAAGUGUGUUCGCUAAGAGAUCAGUCUAUGUCCUAUCAGCUAGUUGGUGGGGUAAUGGCUCACCAAGGCUAUGACGGGUAUCUGGUUUGAGAGGAUGAUCAGACACACUGGAACUGAGACACGGUCCAGACUCCUACGGGAGGCAGCAGUGAGGAAUAUUGCACAAUGGAGGAAACUCUGAUGCAGCAACGCCGCGUGGAGGAUGACGCAUUUCGGUGUGUAAACUCCUUUUAAGAGGGAAGAUUAUGACGGUACCUCUUGAAUAAGCACCGGCUAACUCCGUGCCAGCAGCCGCCGCAG